rnacentral:rRNA from 1 species
GACGAACGCUGGCGGCGUGCCUAAUACAUGCAAGUCGAGCGCAGGAAGCCGUCUGAACCCUUCGGGGGGACGGCGGUGGAAUGAGCGGCGGACGGGUGAGUAACACGUAAAGAACCUGCCCAUAGGUCUGGGAUAACCACGAGAAAUCGGGGCUAAUACCGGAUGUGUCAUCGGACCGCAUGGUCCGAUGAUGAAAGGCGCUCCGGCGUCGCCCAUGGAUGGCUUUGCGGUGCAUUAGCUAGUUGGUGAGGUAGCGGCCCACCAAGGCGACGAUGCAUAGCCGCCCUGAGAGGGUGAUCGGCCACACUGGGACUGAGACACGGCCCAGACUCCUACGGGAGGCAGCAGUAGGGAAUCUUCCACAAUGGACGAAAGUCUGAUGGAGCAACGCCGCGUGAACGAUGAAGGCUUUCGGGUCGUAAAGUUCUGUUGUAAGGGAAGAACAAGUGCCGCAGGCAAUGGCGGCACCUUGACGGUACCUUGCGAGAAAGCCACGGCUAACUACGUGCCAGCCGCCACAGUAA